UACAGAGGUCUCAAGCGUUGUUCGGAUUCAUUGGGCGUAAAGGGUGUGUAGGUGGCGCCGUAAGUCGGGUGUGAAAUUUCGGAGCUUAACUCCGAAACUGCAUUCGAUACUGCGGUGCUUGAGGACUGGAGAGGAGACUGGAAUUUACGGUGUAGCAGUGGAAUGCGUAGAUAUCGUAAGGAAGACCAGUGGCGAAGGCGGGUCUCUGGACAGUUCCUGACACUGAGACACGAAGGCCAGGGGAGCAAACGGG
rnacentral:rRNA from 1 species